rnacentral:tRNA from 1 species
UAGGGAGUAGCAUAAAUAGUGCGUCUCAUUUACACUGAGAAAGUGGCCUGUAGGUCCUUCCUAC